rnacentral:lncRNA from 1 species
GAUUUGGUGGUGCUCGAGGAAGCUCGAGCUCAGAGAGGAGGGGAGGGCGGGGCGUUCGUGUGAGGUCGACGCAUGGGAGAGGCGCGGUUGUGACGCCCCAACUUUCCAGGGGUCACCUAACUUAGGACUACUCCCGUCCUAGCACGCUUAACUCUCUUAACCUCUUGGGUGUCACGCCCCGGGACCGAUACUAAUUUGGGCCGGCCCGAGCACGUCAAACAGACGCCGAACGAACAGAAUUUUUCCUGUCCGCCCAAGGCUCAUCACAUGUACAUUUUCAAACAAAGAAGUGCACUAGCGAAAACAUACAAAUACGGCUUACACGAGGGUAAGCAAUAGCCAUGAGUGAAAGAAAGGAAACUAAACAUUCACUUGUACUAUGAUUCAAUUUACAUCAUAUACAUUAAGUCCAACUUGUACAUUUUCAAAUUCCUUACAUUUCAUUACAUCAUUUCUUCCUUACAUCACAUUUACCUCAAAAGGGUGUUUUACAUUCUUUUCUUUACAUCAUUUAUCAUCAAAUACAAAAGAUGAUUAUAGGGUACUCUACUACAAAAUGUAACCCAGCACCGGUGGCCUCUGACUAUGGCGUGAUACCUUUACCGCGAUCGCUCGCCGGCUCGCUCGGUCCCGGCUCUGUGAAAAUAGUGGGGUGAGAACUACAACAAAGUUCCCAGUGGGUUCGGCCUCAACAUCACCGACUUUCCCACUAGGACUAACUCAGGCAUAAUAGAAAGAAAAAGCUGCAUAUAGUAACCAAUCUAUAAUAUGAUGCUAAUAUGCCUGAACAAUAAGCAGAAAAUAUGCUCAAUAUUAACAUAUGCAGAUUAUGCAAGUUCUUUUGUUCUUUGCAUGUUACACUUUGUCUUUGUUCUUUGUUCUUUGCUCUUUACACUUUGUCUUUGUUCUUUGUUUUUUGCUCUUUACACUUUGUCUUUGUUCUUUGUUCUUUGCUCUUUGUACUUUAAUCUCAAGGCUAACCCGGGAGUUUCGCCACAUUAACUUACUUCACAUUAAGUCCAUCAUAGCGGGCCCUGAGCUUCCUCCCGCUAAGACCGUCCUCGGGUUUACUCCAACCCGUGAUGCAAAACUCUGGAGCGCAUCGCCCGAGGGGGAGCGACCACCCUCGGGCACGGAACUCAUAGCAAGUAUGAUCGAAUCCUUAACUCAAAGGAUUGUAUGUUCAAUCUUGACUUUACACUUAAGCCCUGUUUAGAUGCAUAGUUAAAAAACUCCAUGGAAUUUUUAUUCUAUGGUUUUGGUCUAAUUGAAAUACGGAAUCCUGUAACUAAAAAAAAAUUCCACAGCUUCAUUUUUAAGCUGUUUGGAUACAGAUCAUACAAUUCCACAGUAUUUAUAACAAUUAAAUUUCUAAAAUUUUAAAAUUCAAAAUUCAAAAUUUAAAAUUUAAAAUUCAAAAUUCAAAAUUCAAAAUUCAAAAUUCAAAAUUUAAAAAUAAAAUUUUCAAAAUUAAAAUUCAAAAUUCAAAAUAUAAAAUUAAAAUUUAAAAUUUAAAAUUAAAAAAUUAAAUUAGAUUUUAUGUUUUAAAUUUGAAAUUUGAAAUUUGGAAUUUGAAAUUUAAAACUUGAAAUUUGAAACUUUAAAUUUUAAAAUUUAAAAUAUACCAUUUAAACUUUAAAAUUUGAAAUUUAAAAAAUCUAUAAUUAAAAUUUUAAAUUUUAAAUUUUAAAUUUAAUAAUUUAUAAAUUUACAUAUUUAUAAAUUUAAAAUUUAAAAUUUAAGUUUAAAUUUAAAUUUUGAAAAUUGAAAAUUAAAAAUCAAAAAUUAAAUUAAAAUUUGAAAUUUGAAAUUUGAACUUUUUGAAAUUUGAAAUUUGAAAGUUGAAAUUUGAACUUUUUGAAAUUUGAAAUUUGAAAGUUGAAAUUUGAAAUUUCAAUUUUUUGAAAUUUGAAAUUUGAAAUUUGAAAUUUGAAAGUUGAAAUUUGAAAGUUGAAAUUUGAACUUUUUGAAUUUUGAAAUUUGAAUUUCGAAAUUUGAAAUUUAAAAUCAAAAUUAAAAUUGAAUUUUAAAAUUUUAAAUUUUGAAAUUUAAAAUUUUAUGUUAAAAUUUAAAAUUUAGAAAUUGAUACAUCUUUGGGAGCCCAAAAUGGUGGAAUUUUUUUCCUUUGGUUAAAGUGGAUUGUAAGUUUACUCCAUUUUUUGGAGUAUAGUAUAACUAUACUCCAAAAAUUACGUUAUUUUUUUUUCUUCCAAACGCUUCAUAGGAUUAUUUUCCUAUCGGUGUAGCAUAGUUUAACUAUGCUACAUUUUUAGAGGUAUCCGAACGGGGCCUAACUCUAGUGUUCUUUACAUCACUUUAUGUUGCUACUCUAGCAAUCAUUGUUCUUUACCUUUCUUUACUUUUGCUAACUCUAGCAAUCAUGUUCUUUACAUUUCUUUACUUUUGGUUAUCUUUAGCAAUCAUGUUCUUUACAUUUCUUUACUUUUGGCUAUCUUUAGCAUUCAUGUUCUUUACAUUUCUUUACUUUUGGCUAUCUUUAGCAUUCAUGUUCUUUACGCCCCACUUUGCUUUCACUUUAGUCAUUAUCAUUAUUCUUUACAUCACAUUGAUUCUUUGCCUCACACUACCUCUAGUGUCACUUUACUUUACAUUAUCAAAUGCCACUCGAUCUAUGUCUCAUUGUGUCACUCUAUUCUUUCGCCUCACUUUGGUACUCGCAUUUUCUCUCAUACAUACAUAUAUAGAAUUUUUGACAUUCAUAAGGUUCUUAACCAUCACAUUACGCAAGUUGUACUUACAAUCAUGCAACAUCACAUUUUUAUCAUUGCUUUACCCUAAAAUGCAUGCAACAAUAUAUAUAUAUAUAUAUAUAUAUAUGUUCAAUUGAAUGACACAUUAGGCAUAGAGGGAAGUUCAACGAGUUUGAAAAGCACCACCCACCUCGUAGGUUCACAAAGGUGCUCCGAUGAUUUUCUUGAGAUUUUUAGAUCUUUCGUUCUUUACCUGCGGCAAAACGAAGCCAACUUAGGCCAUUUUGCCCAUAACGUUUUAUAGACUUUUCGUAACGCUAAUCCGAGCGCACCAACGCGUCGGGAAUACCCCCAAUUAGGUUUCUAAAGGGUCAAUUUCACUUAGAAAUUCUCAUGAGUAAAAGCCCCAAUUCGGGUGCCCUAGCUCCAUAGCAUAUAUCAAACCUAGGAUUUGAUCUCAAUUGAAAGCAAAAGAGGCUUCAUUACACUCUAAAGAGUCCAUCUAAACCAUUCUUAGCUUUAUUAAAACCCUAGCUUGGGUUUCACCAUGAGAGGAGGUUGAAGCUUUCAUUCAAGCUUCACCAUUUCCACCAUUCCAUGAUUUUGAUCUCAAAAGGAAGCAAAAGAAAGCUUCAAAGACUCUAGAGAUUCUAUAAAAACCAUCUUUAAUCUAAUCCAAACCCUAAUUUGGUUUCUACCAUGAUUAAGGUUCAAAGCUUACCUUGUAAGCUUUCCUUUUCCAAACUAGAGAUGAGAGAGAGGGAGUUUCUUCACUCCUUCUUCUUGUUCUCCUCUUUCUUCUUCUUCUUUUUCUUGUCUUCUUCUUCUUCUUCUUGUCUUCUAGAGAGAGAAUGAGAGAUGAGAGGUGAUGAGAGGGUGAGAAUAAGAGAAAUACCUCAUUACCCCUCUUACAUAUCUCUAUGGGUUGCAAAAUUGCAGCUAAACCCCUCAACUUUCAUCUUAUUCAACUGCCUGGACUGACAGAUUUCGCAUGCGGGGAUCAGUCUCCCCGACCAAGGACCGGUUCCCGUAGGUCCUCCCGGCUCCACGCAUGAGGCGACCGGUCUCUCUUUGGGGGACCGGUCUCCGGAGGACCGGUUUCUCAGGCAGGGACCGGUUCCUGAAGCCUGCCUUCUCAGGACUUAGCCGAUUUUCAGCUUUCCUCUGUUUUCACGCGUACGGGGACCGGUCUCUCCUUCAGGGACCAGUCCCCGAGAGCACAAAACCUGCAGAAUGCAGAUUUUUGAUUCCUUAGCUCUCGAAAACCUCCCAUAACACGCUUUUGAUCCUUUUAACACCUUCGUACUUUCCGAAGUGUACCAUCCUCGCACUUUGGCCAAUUUGACUAAAGUUCGAUAUUUAUUUUCCGAAUUCUCGGUAUAUUAUAUUGGGCCUAGCCACCAACCAAAAUACUUAAGUCAGAUUUAGAGUUAUAGUUCUAUUAUAUCUUAUAUAUAGGACUAUCUGGGGUCUCACAGCGGUGGAGUGGGAUCAAUCGGGUUGGUUUGAGUUAGGGUUAGGGUUCUAUUAGGGCUCAAAAUUAGAUAUAUUUAAAAAUUAUAGUUGAAAAUAAUUGUCGCUAAAAUAUAAAUUAAUAACAAAUAAUAAUGGCCAUUUGAUAAUUGCCGUUAUUAAAUUGUCGUUAAAUGUCUAUUUUGUUAUAGUGCAAGAAAUAAUUUCUUGCCAAACAUAUUCUUCAAGCCCUUGUUUGGUUGGGGGUUAAGGGGUGGAAUAACCCCUUAACCCCCAUUUUAUCCCCAAACACCCCAAAAAAUGGGUGGGGUUAGCUAACCCCACCUCAAAUAAAUUAUCCCGGGUUAGUUAACCCCACCUAACCCCACCAAACUCCAACCAAACACUAUUUUCUAUUCAUAAUAACCCACUAUCUUUCUUAUCACACAUACUCCAACCAAUCAUUAUCCUUCUUUAUCAAUCAUUAUCUUUUUAUCCCACCUACUCCAACCAAACACUAUUUUUCAUUAUUCUAGACUAACUCCAACCCCCAACCAAACACAAAAAAACUUUAACUCCACUUUAACCCUGAACUUAACUCUAUCCCUGGAAUAGCUACUUUUUCCUUAACCCCGAACCAAACGGAGGCCAAAUGACUAUUCAAAUCCCCGCACCUUUCCUGCUUGUAAUGGCGGCAGAAAAGGAUCCUGGUUAGUGCACCUUGGCCCAUUUACUACAAAUAGUGUAUAAGUUUUCCAACCAUAGAUUUCUCUCAAGGUCAUAGUCCUUCAACAUAGCAAACCAUUUUUCCUCUAUUGUUCUCCACCCAAUCGAGCUUUCAAAACCACAAUCCUUUAAUGCUGUAGAGAAUUUUGUAUACUUGUUGAUAAUGCAACGGGAGGUUGAAUGUUUGGCAUAUUGAAAAAUAUGUCAAACACACAACCUAUGUAAUUUAGUAUUUGGAAGGUCCGUUGCCAAUUCUUUGCACAUGGCUUUACAUUGAUCGGAAUAGGAUGCUUGGUGGACAAACACUUCGAAAGGUUGGAAAGCCGUAUAAAGGAUUUUGUUGUCUUUGUCACACAAUAAGGCCCACUCAAAUAAAAAUCGUUUCUUAUAUUAUUCACGUCAAGAAUUUGGUGCAAACAACAUUGUUAUAUUUGUUAGUUUUUCAAAGGCUGGUGUUAAAGGAUACAACAUAACCAAAAUGUGCAAGUCAAACGAUCACACUUUAGUCAAAAAUUAUUUAUGCUAUCUCUUUCUGUUUUUGCACUACAUGAUUGAAUUAUUUAUUCUUCAGAUGGAUGUGGAGGUUUACUGUUCGUCCAAUGGGUGCGUGAUGUUUGCAACCCAAAGAAUGACGACCGUAACAUAAUUAUCUUCAAAAAGAAAGGCAACUUUUGACUGGAGGGAUGCUAGAGUCGUGACUCCCGUCAAAGCCCAAGGUACAUGCAGUAAGUUAAUUUUAUUUUAUAUAUUAUAAGACUUGUUAUUUUUUAAUACCGUUCAUUUAUUUUUAUUCAACGGUUUAGAUUUAAUUUUUUUUGAAAUUGUGACCUGUAAUAGCAGAUCACUUGGAGAGAGGUAACGGUUACCAAAUACCGAAAAAAGGGUAUUUUGGUCUUUUAAUAUAUAGAUAAUUAGUAAUUUUAUUUCUACUAUAAAAAAUUUAAAUCUCUAUUUACUCUUUAUUUAUGUUUUCUCUCUGUAUCUUUCCUCUUCAUCCACAGUGGAGAUGUAAAGAGAUAGGAUUCCUAAAAUUAAUGCCUCAAAUUUGGGAUUUCAAUCAAAUCUUAAAUUAAUGCUUAAAUUAGUUGCAAAAUUAAUGAUAAAUUUGGGAUAUUAAUCAAAUCUUUCUUAAGAUUUUGUCUAGUUUAAUUACAAACUACCCUUAAAUGAAAUAACUUUUUAAUCUGCUAUAUAAUGAAAUAACAUUUUUAACCUUCAUUAAUCAACAGUUAAGAUCUUUUAUAUUUUCUAUAAAAUAAAGUACCGAAUCAUUUAUCAUAUUAUAAACCAUAAAAGUGAUAGAUUCUAAUUUUUUUUUUGAAUUAUAGAUUCUUGUUGGGCCUUUGCUGCUGCUGCAGUAUGGGAUUAAAAAAGGAGAGUUGCUGAAUUUAUCAGCACAGCAGUUACUAAAUUGCACAAAUACUAGUUUCUUACAUGGCGGUAGUGAAGAAGGUGAAAACAUGUUUGCAGCAUUCAGCUAUAUGUUGGAAAAUGGAGGGCUUGCUAGGUGGGAGAACUACCCAUACAAAAUGCGGAAGGGCCGCUACAAUGGUCAACUCGCAAGGCAGCAAGCCGCGCAAAUCGAUUCGUUUCACAUCGAAAACUAUGUAAUUGAGAAUAGAUUAAGAGCACUAAUUGACAAGCAGCCUGUUGUGGCUCAAGUCUUAGCGAAUCGCUCAUUUGCCGACUAUGAUGGAGGAUUUUUUGCUGGAUAUCCUGCUGAAACUACUAAUCAUGAAGUAUUAAUAACUGGAUAUGGAACGGACCCGGAACAUAGAGAUUAUUGGAUGAUAAAAAAUUCCUAGGGCGAAGAAUGGGGAGAAGGAGGGUUCAUGAGAUUGAAACGAGGGGUAGGGGCUUACGGAAUUAAUCAUCUGAUCGGUUUUCCGAUUAUAAGGUAAUUUUUUUUCCACAACAAUAUUAUUAAUUUUAAAAUUAUUUCGCUUAUUCUAUUAAAUAAUAAUGUUAUUGUUUAUAUGACGGGGAUUAGAAGUUUGUAUCCUUUCUAUCACCUUUGAUUUUGUUUUGAUCUAACUAUACAAAGGUUUGUAUCCUUUCUAUCACCUCUCUCUAAUAUAUUUAUCCCACAGGUUUUGUUUUGUUUUGAUCUAACCUGCAUACUAUUAUUCGAUAUCCAAAGCCAGAUGGAGAGAUGUCAUUUGAUGUGCCGACUUCAUUAUACAGGUUCAGAAUAUCAACCAUGCUAUCUCAUUUGCCAAUCCUUCUUUAUAUCUUUACAUGUGCUUGUCCAAGAUGUGGAUUUUCUAAUUAAUGAUAGUUUGAUGUCUAUAUAAGAUGCAGAUAUUGAUUUUUUCAAAUAUAAAUUAUUUCACUACUAAGUUUUUGGCUAAUAAAAAAUAUAUUGAGUUACCGUGCCCCAUCAAGAAAAGAAGUCCACAAGGUUUUCCCACCUUAGACAAAUGGAUUGAGGAGAAUCACGAUGGAACAACAAAAAUUAAAAUUGCAAAAUGCAUAUCAAAAUUACAUAAAUUAUGAAUGGCUAAACAUAAUUACCCAGACGAAGAGAGAGUUUCAUUUGAGUUUCACAGCAGAAAGUUUAUAUUCUCCAGUAACUCAAUAUAUUUUUAUUAGCCAAAAACUUAGUAGUGAAAUAAUUUGUAUUUGAAAGAAUCAAUAUCUGCAUCCUAUAUAGACAUCAAACUAUCAUUAAUUAGAAAAUCCAUAUCUUGGACUUGGACUAGCACAUGUAAAGAUAUAAAGAAGGAUUGGCGAAUGAGAUAGCAUGGUUGAAAUACUGAACCUGUAUAAUGAAGUCGGCACAUCAAAUGACAUCUCUCCAUCUGGCUUUGGAUAUCGAAUAAGAGUAUGCAGGUUAGAUCAAAACAAAAUAAAACUUAGAUCAAAACAAAAUCAAAUGUGAUAGAAAGGAUACAAACUUCAAAUCCCUGUCAUAUAAACAAUAACAUUAUUAUUUAAUAGAAUAAGCGAAACAAUCUAAAAAUUAAUAAUAUUGUUGUGGAAAAGAAAUUACCUUAUAAUCGAAAAACCGAUCAGAUGAUUAAUUCCGCAAGCCCCUACCCCUCGUUUCAAUCUCAUGAACCCUCCUUCUCCCCAUUCUUCGCCCUAGGAAUUUUUUAUCAUCCAAUAAUCUCUAUGUUCCGGGUCCGUUCCAUAUCCAGUUAUUAAUACUUCAUGAUUAGUAGUUUCAGCAGGAUAUCCAGCAAAAAAUCCUCCAUCAUAGUCGGCAAAUGAGCGAUUCGCUAAGACUUGAGCCACAACAGGCUGCUUGUCAAUUAGUGCUCUUAAUCUAUUCUCAAUUACAUAGUUUUCGAUGUGAAACGAAUCGAUUUGCGCGGCUUGCUGCCUUGCGAGUUGACCAUUGUAGCGGCCCUUCCGCAUUUUGUAUGGGUAGUUCUCCCACCUAGCAAGCCCUCCAUUUUCCAACAUAUAGCUGAAUGCUGCAAACAUGUUUUCACCUUCUUCACUACCGCCAUGUAAGAAACUAGUAUUUGUGCAAUUUAGUAACUGCUGUGCUGAUAAAUUCAGCAACUCUCCUUUUUUAAUCCCAUACUGCAGCAGCAGCAAAGGCCCAACAAGAAUCUAUAAUUCAAAAAAAAAAUUAGAAUCUAUCACUUUUAUGGUUUAUAAUAUGAUAAAUGAUUCGGUACUUUAUUUUAUAGAAAAUAUAAAAGAUCUUAACUGUUGAUUAAUGAAGGUUAAAAAUGUUAUUUCAUUAUAUAGCAGAUUAAAAAGUUAUUUCAUUUAAGGGUAGUUUGUAAUUAAACUAGACAAAAUCUUAAGAAAGAUUUGAUUAAUAUCCCAAAUUUAUCAUUAAUUUUGCAACUAAUUUAAGCAUUAAUUUAAGAUUUGAUUGAAAUCCCAAAUUUGAGGCAUUAAUUUUAGGAAUCCUAUCUCUUUACAUCUCCACUGUGGAUGAAGAGGAAAGAUACAGAGAGAAAACAUAAAUAAAGAGUAAAUAGAGAUUUAAAUUUUUUAUAGUAGAAAUAAAAUUACUAAUUAUCUAUAUAUUAAAAGACCAAAAUACCCUUUUUUCGGUAUUUGGUAACCGUUACCUCUCUCCAAGUGAUCUGCUAUUACAGGUCACAAUUUCAAAAAAAAUUAAAUCUAAACCGUUGAAUAAAAAUAAAUGAACGGUAUUAAAAAAUAACAAGUCUUAUAAUAUAUAAAAUAAAAUUAACUUACUGCAUGUACCUUGGGCUUUGACGGGAGUCACGACUCUAGCAUCCCUCCAGUCAAAAGUUGCCUUUCUUUUUGAAGAAAUUAUGUAGGUCGUCCAUUCUUUGGGUGCAAACAUCACGUACCCAUUGGACGAAAGCAAACCCUCCAUCUCCAUCCAUCUGAAAGAAUAAAUAAAUUCAUCAUGUAGUGCAAAAAACAGAAAGAAGAUAAGCAUAAAAAUUUUUGACUAAAGUGUGAUUGUUGACUUGCACUGUUGCACAUUUUGGUUAUGUUGUAUCCUUUAACACAGCCUUUGAAACUAACAAAUAUAACAUGUUGUUUGCACCAAUUCUUGACGUGAAUAAUCAUAAGAAAACGAUUUUAUUUGAAGUGGGCCUUAUUGUGUGACAAGACAACAAAAUCCUUUAUACGGCUUUCCAAACCUUUCGAAAGUGUUUGUCCACCAAGCAUCCUAUUCCGAUCAAUGUAAAGCCAUGUGCAAAGAAAUUGCAACGGACCUUCCAAAUACUAAAUUAACAUAGUUUGUGUGUUUGGCAUAUUUUUCAAUAUGCCAACAUCAACCUCCGUUGCAUUAUCAACAAGUAUACAAAAUUCUCUACAGCAUUAAAGGAUUGUGUUUAUGAAGCUCGAUUGGUGGAGAAAAUAGAGGAAAAAUGGUUUGCUAUGUUGAAGGACUAUGACCUUGAGAGAAAUCUAUGGUUGAAAAACUUAUACACUAUUUGUAGUAAAUGGGCCAAGGUGCACUAACCAGGAUCCUUUUCUGCCGCGAUUACAAGCAGGGAAAGGUGCGGGGAUUUGAAUAGUCAUUUGAAGAAUAUGUUUGGCAAGCAAUUAUUUCUUCCACUAUAACAAAAUAGACAUUUAACGAUAAUUUAAUAACGGCAAUUAUCAAAUGGCCAUUAUUAUUUGUUAUUAAUUUAUAUUUUAGCGACAAUUAUUUUCAACUAUAGUUUUUACCAACUAAUAAUUUUAUGUUAAAUAUAUCUAAUUUUGAGCCCUAAUAGAACCCUAACCCUAACCCAAACCAACCCGAUUGAUCCCACUCCACCGCUGUGAGACCCCAGAUAGUCCUAUAUAUAAGAUAUAAUAGAACAAGAACUCUUAAUCCGACUUAAGUAUUUUGGGUGGUGGCUAGGCCCAAGAGGUUAAGAGAAUUAAGCGUGCUAGGACGGGAGUAAUCCUAAGAUGGGUGACCCCUGGAAAGUUGGGGCGUCACAACCGUGCCUCUCCCCUGCGUCGACCUCACACGAACGCCCCACCCUCCACCCCUCCUCUCCGAGCUCGAGCUUCCUCGAGCACCACCAAAUCGCCGGCAUCAUCCACUUCACCGCUGCCGACAACGUCUACAAUCUCUAGUUAUUUUGUGGGUAAAUGUAGAAAUCGCUCACUUAAUUACCUUUUCAUUAUUUUUCCGGUGUUAAUUUAUCUCAUGACUUAGGAGGUAUUGGAAUGGAAAAUUGCGUAAACUGAAUGGAAAUUUGUUGAUUAAUGUUGAUUUUUGAUGGGAAACGAAUUAACUUGAAUUUUGCAUAUUUUUUCUUGAUAUGAACGAAAUCAAUCAGGUUGCAUUGAGUUUGGAUCAUUAAAAUCAGUAGUAGUGCUUUUCUCCUUAUUUUCAAAUUAUAAUUUUAAGGGAAAUAGCCUUACGUUUCGAUUUUUAUUUCUAUACAUUUUUCAAACUCUAAAUAUAAUAUCAGAGCCUAGAUGAAUGGUUCUAAGAUCUAGAAAGUCCCCUGAUAUUAUCCAUAUUUAACUCUCAAUGUUUAUGUGAUUCAUCACUUUGCCCUUUCUUUGGCACUUUUCUAUGAUAAUACGAUGCAUUAGUUUUUCUAUAGCCUAGGCGUGUAAUAAAUAGUAGUAGCUAGUGAGGGAAAUUGGUGGAGGAAUGAAGUGAAAGAACAACAAGGAAAGAAAAGGGGAAAUUGAUAUUGAAGAAGCUACUAAUGUUUUGUGAGGCUAAAGCAGAAAUUGUCAUUGUAUAUGUUUUCAUGUGGCUUAGGAGGACCCAUGCAGGGAGAGAGAGCAUUAAUUAUAGAAGCCUUGCUAAAGUGUCCUCCUAUUAGGGAAUAAGGCAGUUGUAAGAGACUCCCUCAACUGUAGCCAAUUUCGUAAUGUGCUCCUUAGCUUUUUGGCACAUUUUUAAUUUUUAGUAUUGUGACUUGAGUUAUUUUACUUAUUUGAAUCGAAUCAUCUAAAUUUGGCUUAAUUGUCACUAAAUUUAGUAAAAUUUCUUAUUUAUAUAGUAUGAAACUAUGGAUCAAGGUUUUAAGUGCCCGUCGGCACGAGCCGUAUCGACCGUGUCGUACCGUGCCAACAAGAUACUGGCACGAUACAGGCCCCGUACCGAUGAUACAUCUCAAAACCCUCUAUUCUUUAAAUUAGUAAGUAAUUUCCUCAAUAAAGUUCAAAAGAUGUGAUAAAAAGGCAUAAUAAAUAGUUAGAAUUUUUUGUUGCUGAAGAAAAUAAAUAUUUCAUGCUAUCAUAUGUCGACACACAAGAAUUGUUUUGACUGGCACACAUCGGCACAGCUCGGCACGCACUGUGUCGUACCGUGCCGGCAAGUUUCCGGCACAACCCCGUGCUACGGCACUUAAAUCCUUGGUAUGGAUAACUUAUAUUGAAACAAUUGGACGUAGAGUUGUGCUAAUAUUUCUAUGCUCUUGAAUUUAAUUUAGUCUUUUUUUUGUUUCAUUUUGCAGUUACUAUUGCGUUCUCGAAUUAAUUCGGCCAAAAAUGGGUCUCCAUUCAAAAUGAUCUAGAAUAUAGUCAAUUUGUGAACAGAGUUGGCUGUUUUUAUUUGAAUGAGAUGUUGCAUUGUGGAAUUUAUUAUUUGAAAGUUAUACAAUUAUGAUUGACAUUGUACACAUUCUAGUUAUUUGUUGGUGUAAAUUUGUCCGUUCUUUCAUCAUAUGCAUUUUGUAAUAUCAGAUUGUGUUUGCAUUUGAGUAUGCAUUUCAGUGAUGCUCGAUUACUGAUUUUCUUUCUCAAUUGUUUGAAUUUCAGGAUGUUCAUGGACUCUUGCUGGAGGCUGAGGAUCAUGAAGGGUUCAGAUGCAAAUGGACUUGGUAAGUACAAGUCAACAGUCAACAACUGGAACUUAGUAACUGAUUUAUCUUGCUUAUUUCUGCAUUCUGAUACAUGAACCAAAACUUAUUUGAGACUCAUCUAAAUCAUGGAUUCUUUGGUAAAGAUUUUUCAAUUUUCAACUUCUAUUUUCAAACUUGAGAACCUUUUCCCUCCACUUUGCUUAAUAUAAUGAACCCACUUGAGUCUUUUGAUUCCUUAAAUGAACUUCAGCCUGAGCAACUUCAUCUUUAUGGCUUGAAAUCGUUAGUUCUACUUGAAGCUGGGCUAUUCACACAUAUAUGCAUUUGUUUGCUAUAUAUAUCUCUACUGAAAGAUAUAUAUGCAUUUGUUUGCUAUUCACACAAACUAGUUGCUUCUUACUCAAAGUUAAUGAUGUUUCUAGUGGCAGAUACAAACACGUCUCGUAAGUAAUUCUCAUCACUACCUACUUUAGUUAGAAUUUCCCCUAUUGACAUCUUCAUAUUUUAUUACGACAUAGAUCUUACUUGAUUGCUAUUGUCAUGACUCUAUAUUGACAUCUUCAUGUUUUAUUAGAGUAGUAGUUGCAUCUGGUUUGUAGGUCUGUUGCUUCCACCAUACAAAUAUGAAUCAUGUUAAAUCUGAGCUAAUUCUACUCAUAUAAUAGUUACUUCAUUGAAUCUUAUUAUACAGUUGCUACUUCAGUUUGCCAUCCUAGAUAUCCAGUACUAAGAUUACUGGUCGCUUUCUAUUCAAUCGAUUAUUUGGUAAUAUGUUAUCAAAGCUAGUUUUAAAUUCAUGGCAUUAUUUGUGAAAAUUAGCAUUUACCACAUGUCUUGUAUCCUUCGGAGAGGUGCUAAGACAAUUUUUGAGUCAUAUCUUUUGAGUACUAUUAAUGACAUGGCUAUGGGCAUUUUGGAUAUAUGGUUACAUAUCAAUUUCUUAAUUUUGAGUUUUAAAACAAUUUCUCCGUCAACAAAUGAAUUUGGUUGUCAAAUUAUUUGAUUUUGCACUAAACUGAGUUUCUUUUCGAUGAUGUGAUUCAAAUUUUCAGGUGACUCAUUUGUUGGGUAUUCUUGGAUUUGGCGCAUUUUGCUUCGUCUUGGGUGCUAGUAAGCUAUCUUUAAUUUGCUAGUGCUCAUCAACUAUAAGUAAAAGGCUUUGUAGUGUUUCUUGUAUUGUAAUUUGUUGAUCAGGGCCCCAAAGAUGUUCGGCCUUGCCAACUUUGAUUAUUUCAGGAUGAUCGAAAAUAAGUACUUGGGCCUUAGAAAUGGUAUUCUGGAUCCAUCAGCUAUUUUGCUUUCACGGUCUGGUUAUCUUACUUUUAUGGAUUGCAAGGUAAUAAUUUAAGUGCUCAAAAUACAUGCUCUAAUGUUUCAUUCUCUACUCAUUUCUUUAGACUAUAUUUCAUUUCUCUUUUCGGUCAUAAGUAUUUUUUUUUCUUCCCCCCCGUUAGUUAAUUUUCUGUUUCUAUUGUUGCUAAUUGAUUAGAUUAACAUAUGAUUCAUAUUUUUGUUUUGUGUGAAUUGACUAUAACACCCUCCUAUGUUUACUUCUCAAAGUUGAAUAAAAAUCGGCAACCUGAGGGAGGACAACUAGUGUUCAAAAUUUUGUUGGCAUUUUCAGGGCUUCAGCACAAUCUACCCAAGAAACGGGGUUAUAACACUCGAGUUUCUAAGUGUAAAGAGGCUGCCUGUGCUCUUUUAUUGUAAGUUUUCUUAAACUAACAAGAAUAACAUUAUUCUAAGGAUAGGUUUUCAUCUACAUUUCUGUAAUUCAAUUUUAUGUUUAGCUGAUCGAAUGACUUGUCAUUUGUUGCGUAGAUGAAAGGAUUAUGCAGUCUUACACUCGAUUAUAUGUGCAAGCUCAAAUAAUACAUAAAUUAUCAGUUGAACAGAGCCUACCACAUAACCCAUGCAUGAAGCCACUUGAAAAUGCAACGAAACCAUUUGGAUGUUUAAGAAAAGAAAUAGGAUCUUUUGCCUGCAAAUAUGCACAAGUACGCAAAUAUUUUUGCAGAGUCACUAUUUGUGUGUUUAUACCUAAAAAACCUUGCUUAUUUGCAACGUGAGGUAUCCCUCUUCGGUACAUAUGCAAAUAAACAAGGCUUUUCAAGGUAUGGACAUGAAUACUAACUUUGCAGGGGUAUUUCAAAAGUUUUGCACGAAUACUAACUAUCAUUUUACUGUUGAGAAAUCAGCCUCUCUUUGUGUUGGGAAAACUAUUAGUACUUCUUGUGUCCAAUUCUGUUUUUCACCUUUUUUUCCCCUCUAAAUUGUUACUCGAAACAUUAAAUAAUCAAAUUAGCAUUGGUCUUUAUGCACAAUUAGUGACUUAUACUUUUAUUCUGUUGCAAUGUAUGUCACAACAAACUAAAAUAUUAAGAUUACCUGCCUUUGUUUGGGUUACUUAGUCAUGUUCUAUGUAGUUCUAGGCCAGCAUUUGUUGAAAGAACUUUAUUCAGUUUACUCUACUAAGUAUAGAAUCUGUAUGUCGCUUAUUAAGUUUCAAUUAUCUUGCCUUACCAUCUGAUAACACAAUGCAUCUCUCUUGUUUGUAAUAUUUCUCAGUGCAACUAAAUCUCAUCUUACUUUCAUAUAGAGCAACAACGGUUUUCAAAGGAUGGCUACAAAAAACACUUACAAGUGAACCAUCUGGCCCCAGCGUUACUAUCAAUGUUGCUUUUGCCUUCCCUUCUUCGAGGCUCUCCCAGUAGAAUUAUAAAUGUUAACUCCAUUGUAAGUUCUUCAUUGGCUAUGCUAUUUCGUUUAUUUGAAAUUUGCAUUUCAGUUCACCACUACUGUUUAUUUUAUUUUAUUUUUUGAAUCAUUAUGGAGUUAAUAUGAUUUAUAUGCAAGCCAGCUUUUAUUAAUUGUAUAUAUACUAUGCCUAUAUCUUUACUCUCAAAUGAUUUUUGGUUCCCUUUGUUGACUGGCCUUUCUCUUUAGAUGCAUUAUGUAGGUUUUGUUGACACGGAAGACAUGAACAUGACAUCUGGGAAAAAGAAAUACACAAGUUUAUGGGGAUAUUCAAAUAGCAAAUUGGCACAGGUGUUGAGGUCUCACCAGUUGGUGGCUGUUGAAUUUUUCUUUGAAACGUUACUAUUUUCUUACGCAUAUCCUCUUCACUUGGAUCCACGAUUUCUGAUUAUUCUUCUUACAGUUUUCUUUAUCUAAGUUCUUAUGUUCAUUUAUUUUCUUAGAGUCCUUAUUUUCUUUUAUCUUCGGGGGAAAAAAAAAAUAAUAGAGCAAGCAUUAUAAUCUUCCUUUACAUUCUCGACUCUAAUUUGGUGACGAUGAUGAUAUCAGGUAAAGUUCAGCAGCAUCCUUUAUAAGAGAAUUCAUGCUGAAGCCGGUAUUAAUGUACUUUGUGUUUCCCCUAGAAUUGUUCACACAAAGGUUGUAAGUUUCCUUCAACACAUCAUGCCAAAUAUUCAUGUCAUUUUAACUAUGUCCAUACCUUAUUCCGAUUUAAUUUUCUAGACAGUUUAAUUCGAUUCAAUUAACAAAACUUUUACAAUGAUCUUACUAAAGAAGAAGAUAUUUGAAUUUGUCUCUUUUUUCCCCACAUUUCUGUGUUUGAAGUAAACAGAUUGCUUACAAUGUAUAGGCCAGGGAUCUGCCCAAGAUUGUAAUAGCGGCUUACCAUCUAAGCCCCUAUUUCAUAUUCGAUGCCCAGGAAGGUAUGCAGUUAUACUAUUUUUCGGAUUUUUGUUACUUCGUAUCUUUGAGGCAAAUCGAAUCAAGCGGCUAGUGAAGUUUUGAACUUUCUAUUAUAUAUUCGUUGAAAUCAGUAUUUGUGUGUUUCCACUUUAGCCGUACGAGAUGAAAUUCUCAUAUACGGUUCUCAGAGGGGGAGUUCUUUUGGGUUACCUAUCUCAAUAAAGUAUAUGAUUGGUUUGAGGAACAUCCUGAGAUUCAGGGGAUUGCACUUAACAUGACACAUUUGUAUAUUCACUUUAUUGUUCUCUUUUGACAUGUGUGUUGAAGUUGUCUAUUUUGUUUACUUAGCUAUAUAGUUCCUAUUCACUAUAUAUUUGUUACAAAAAUAGUAUCAAUGCCUCAGCUCAUCCUCUGUAUUGCCAGCUUACUGAAAGCGGUUUACUUUUUGCAGGAUGUCGCUUUGCUAUGUUAGAUCUACAGCCAAAGCUACGUCAAACCUGCAGCUUUCGAAGUAAAAUAAUAAUAGCUUGAGCUCUUAGAAUUUGGGAUUUUUUUGAGAUAAUAAAUGUUUAACGACAUUUAGAAUUUGUUAUUGUUUCACUGAAAAUUCAAAUAAGCAUUUUGUAGUUGAAACUCAUGUAUGAAAUAUAUUUUUAAUAUUGAAACUGUGAUUUGUCGCAAAUUAAGAUUACGUUUUGGUAAUGAAUGUUUUCUAAUUUCAAUUUAUUGAAAUAUUUAAUUGUCGAUCAAGUGUUUUAAUAUAUAUUGCAAUUGCCGCUGUAAGUCUUAUUUAGUAAUUAUUUAGUAUACUUUGAGUAGCAAUUAUAAUUAAUUAUGAUGUCAUUUAUAAUUGUUGUUAUUGGGUAGGAUUUAGUGGCAUUUGUUGUCAAACAAAUGUCAUAAUAACUUUUACUGACCACACUAUUAGUGGCAAUUACUAUAAUUGUCACUAAACUAUUUAGCGACAGUUAUAAUUGUCGGGAUUUUAAAAAAUAAUCACCACUAAAUAAGGGUGGAAACGAGCCGAACUCAAGCGAGCUUACCUCGGCUCAAAUUCGGCUUGAAAUUAAUUUCGAGCCUAAAUUUAAGCUCAAGCUUGGUUUGAAAUUAUUUUGAGCCAAGCUCGAGCGAGCCUAAUUUCGAGUCGAGCGAGCUCAAGCCCUAAACUAGCCGCUUAAUUCUCAACAUUGUACGAUCAAUAGUUUAAUUUGUAUAGAACAUUAUCUACAAUUUGAUACAAAAAAAUAUCUAAUAGUUCAAAGUACAAAAUAAUUAUAUAAAAUAAGGUAUUAUAAUAUGAAGAAAAAUAGCUUAUGAGUUGAAUAUCUAAUUUUUUUCAGCCUCACAUGUCUUCUCUUCUGACUUCAAUUUUCAUAUUAUUCCUUUUCAUUUAUGCGGCCAAAAAAUAAAUAAAUUAUAUACGUAAAUAUUGGAUUAAACUAUCCAAUCAUAUAUAACUAAAAUUAAAAUUUUAUAUAAACAAUAAUUUUUUACUUUAAAAAUAUUCAGUAUAUUUUCUCAAGCAAACAAUUAAUGGCAAGGUAGGCAACGACAGGCGCGUGCUGCUGCUUGGUAACUUAGAGGGUUUCAGGCUUGGUAACUUAGGGUAAGAGACAGAGAAAAAGAGAGAGAGAGAGAGAGAGAGAAAGAGAGAGAAAGAGAUUGAAAAUUUAGAACUUUGUGAAAGAAAUAAAGAAAGGGAGAGAGUAUAAAUUUAGUAAAAUUUUCCCCUUUUGUUUGUCUAUUGGGUUUGUUUUUAUAGACCAACAACAUUGCCCAAUUUUAACUAUAACUCAGGUUACUCACUCAGCCUAUAUAUAAUUAAAAUAUAUUAUAUUUAUAUAUUUUUUAAUGAGUCCGGCUGGGAUGCUAUCAAUAGCACGAAACAUUUGGUGCUAUCAAGUUUUCUGCCGUUAGAUUUACUCUUUUAUCAUUUUCAACCGUUCGAUCAUACUAUUCAACCAACCACCCACUCAACCCUAAGGGACCCACAUCAUCCUAACCGCACACCUUUUAAUCUAAGGGCGGAAAACUUAAUAGCACCAAGUCAUUGGUGCUAUUAAUAGUAUUCCAGCCUAGUUCUAUAUUGUGAGGCUUCGCCGAUUGAGAACAGUCAGGUGAGGGAGACCGAAUGGUCCCCCACCGGGGUAGGCUUCGCCGAUUGUGUGAGAUAUAUAGGCUUGUUGGCGAUUGAAAACAAAUAGGUUGCCUUUAGAACUACAGCAAAACAGUUGGUCGGUCAGAGUAUGUGUUUGGUACGGGUGUUCCACCUGCUGCUGUUGUCUUUGUGAAAGGGUGCAAUGGUUUAUGUUAAACUUUAAACUAACCCUUAAGCUUUAAAUAUUCUCAAGAGUUAAAUAAAUUAAACAAAAUAAGUAGGGAAUAUAAGAAUCCUUUUUGUAAGUAAUAAACCUUAUAUCUAAUCACCACAUAGAAUAUAGAUAUAAUUCAUAGUAAGAUAGAACUUCAUACUAAGAUCCUCAAUUUGGAUUUGUAAAUUUACAGAAAUUGAAACUGUUAACAGUUUCAAUUUUCUGUAAAAUUUACAAAUCAAAAUUGAGGAUCUUAGUAUGAAGUUCUAUCCUACCUAUGAAUUAUGUCUAUUAUUCUAUGUGGUGAUUAGAUAUAAGGUUUAUUACUUACCAAAAGGAUUCUUAUAUUCCCCCUACCUUAUAAUUUAUUUAACUCUUGUAUCAGAAUAUUUAAAGCUUUAAGGGUUAGUUUAAAGUCUUAACAUAAACCAUUUGCACCCUUUCCAAAGACAAACAGCAGCAGGUGGAACACCCCGUACCCAAACACCAUACUCUGACACGACCAACCUGUUUUGCUGUAGUUCUAAAGGCAACCUAUUUGUUUUCAAUCGGCGUGCCUAGUAUCUCAAUCGGCGAAGCUACCCCGGUGGGGGGACCAUUCGGUCCUCCCUACCCUGACUGUUCUCAAUCGGCGAAACAUCACAUGUGAUGUAAAUUUAAAUUCAUGUGUAUUUAGAUAUGUGUAAAUAGAUAUGUCUAAAAUAGAUGUAUCUAAAAUAGAUAUGUCUAAAAUAGAUGCAUCUAAAAUAGAUAUGUCUAAAAUAGAUGUAAAAUGUCUAUUUUAUAUAUGUUUAAAAUAGAUGAUAAUUUUCUAUUUUAUAUAUGUCUAUGCAUAUUUUUUUGGCAUCAUUUUUUGUUGACAGAUACUGUAAAUGGAUAUAUAUUUUUUGUUGACAAAUACUGUAAAUGGAUAUAUAUAUAUAUAUAUAUAACUCGUAUACUAACGGUAGCACGGAGGCCUCCGUGCUACCAAGUUGUUUUCAAUGAUGCGACUUCCAAAUCGACGAUUGGCUCCGUUAGACUUGAUCUACACUAUUGAAAGUAUUUGGAAACUAAAUUUCAUAAUUUUUCGGCAUUAUUUACCUAUCAAACGAGUAGUCUAAAAAUAAAUGCCUAAAAAUAAAAAUCACAUAAAAAAUGAUGAUAAAAGACUUGAAUUUAAGAUCAGAUAUACUGAUCUUACUCUAAAUAGUGAAAAGAAUUUUCUAUAGAAAAUUUCAUCAAAUUUGGAUUGUUUUAUACCGUUAAAUUCACAAACGCAUCAAAUCUACCAUUAAAAUUAUCAAUUUUGAGACCUUUUGAUCACUAGCCAAAUGAUGUCGAAAAAUUAUGAAAUUCAGUUUCUAAAUACUUUUAAUAGUGUAGAUCAAGCCUAUCAGAGCUGAUCGUCGAUUUGGAAGACGCAUCAUUGAAAACAACUUGGUAGCACAAAGGCCCUCCGUGCUACCGAUAGUAUACCAGCCUCGCUCUCUCUCUCUCUCUCUCUCUCUCUCUCUCUCUCUAUAUAUAUAUAUAUAUAUAUUCGAGCUUUUCGAGCCUAAUUCGAGCAAGCUGAGUAAUACUCAAGCUCGGGUUGAAAUGAAUUUCGAGCUUUUUUUUUUUGUUCAAACUCGGCUCAUUUAAUUUCAAGUCAAGCUCGAGCGAGACAAAUAUCGAGUCAAACGCGAGCCGGUUCGCUCAUUUGCCAACCCUACCACUAAAACUUAGUUUUGUUGUAGUGUUGGAUAGUUUAUGCAAGAAUAUGAUCGAUCUAUCAUACGUGUGCCAAUUUUGCAGAUUAAUUUCUAAUAAGAUUAGGAUGAAAAUUACCGAUAAGAGAUGUUCGUUGGAUUUCUCCAGUACCACCUUAGUGUUCAUCUUGAUGGAGGCGGCUGCCAUGCCAAUGAAGUUGGGGUCGCCGUUAGCUCCCAGCUGCAUGUAGACAGAGAAAAAUGAUAAUUAGUAGGUUAAUCUAAUGGUGUUUGUGAGGAGGAGGAGAUCAAGGAAUAUUGUAACUCUGAUCAGAUGAAUCGGAGCCACAUUCCUUGACCUUAGGGUUCAACUUGGAGGACUUCCAUGGAUUUUACUAGUACCUUAGCAUUCAUCUCAGCGGAGGCGGCCACUGCAAUGCCGGUGAAGUUAUGCUAGAGCCACAGUGCCAGCGAAGUUAUUCCCGAGCUCCCAGAUGCAAUGUAAGUUCCCGAC